GCGGAGGAAAAGAAACCAACAGGGAUUGCCCUAGUAACGGCGAGUGAAGCGGCAACAGCUCAAAUUUGAAAUCUGGCUCCCCACCACGGGACCCGAGUUGUAAUUUGCAGAGGGUGCUUCGGCGCUGGCCCCGGCCUAAGUUCCUUGGAACAGGGCGUCACAGAGGGUGAGAAUCCCGUACGUGGCCGGUGGCCUCCGCCUUGUGAAGCCCCUUCGACGAGUCGAGUUGUUUGGGAAUGCAGCUCUAAAUGGGAGGUAAAUUUCUUCUAAAGCUAAAUAUUGGCCAGAGACCGAUAGCGCACAAGUAGAGUGAUCGAAAGAUGAAAAGCACUUUGGAAAGAGAGUCAAAAAGCACGUGAAAUUGUUGAAAGGGAAGCGCUUGCAGCCAGACGCGCCCGCAGUUGCUCAUCCAGGCUCACGCCUGGUGCACUCUUCUGCGGGCGGGCCAGCAUCGGUUCGGGCGGCUGGACAAAGGCCCCGGGAAUGUGGCUCUCUCCGGGGAGUGUUAUAGCCCGGGGCGGCAUGCAGCCAGCCUGGACCGAGGACCGCGCUUCGGCGAGGAUGCUGGCGUAAUGGCCGCAAGCGGCCCGUCUUGAAACACGGACCAAGGAGUCUAACAUCUAUGCGAGUGUUUGGGUGUCAAGCCCGGGCGCGGAAUGAAAGUGAAUGGAGGUGGGAACCCUCGGGUGCACCAUCGACCGAUCCUGAAGUCUUCGGAUGGAUUUGAGUAAGAGCAUAGCUGUUGGGACCCGAAAGAUGGUGAACUAUGCCUGAAUAGGGUGAAGCCAGGGGAAACUCUGGUGGAGGCUCGCAGCGGUUCUGACGUGCAAAUCGAUCGUCAAAUUUGGGCAUAGGGGCGAAAGACUAAUCGAACU
rnacentral:rRNA from 1 species